rnacentral:sRNA from 1 species
AAAGAAAGAGAGAGAGAGAGAGAAGAAGAAGCUCUCAUCACUCAUCUGUUAUCUUCCUCUUCUUCUUCUUCUUCCUCUUCUUUUUUCCUUCCACAUUUAUCUUUA